CCUACGGGUGGCAGCAGUGGGGAAUAUUGGACAAUGGGCGCAAGCCUGAUCCAGCCAUGCCGCGUGAGUGAUGAAGGCCCUAGGGUUGUAAAGCUCUUUCAGCGGGGAAGAUAAUGACGGUACCCGCAGAAGAAGCCCCGGCUAACUUCGUGCCAGCAGCCGCGGUAAUACGAAGGGGGCUAGCGUUGUUCGGAAUUACUGGGCGUAAAGCGCACGUAGGCGGACAUUUAAGUCAGGGGUGAAAUCCCGGGGCUCAACCCCGGAACUGCCUUUGAUACUGGGUGUCUUGAGUCCGGAAGAGGUGAGUGGAAUUCCGAGUGUAGAGGUGAAAUUCGUAGAUAUUCGGAGGAACACCAGUGGCGAAGGCGGCUCACUGGUCCGGAACUGACGCUGAGGUGCGAAAGCGUGGGGAGCAAACAGGAUUAGAUACCCCAGUAGUC
rnacentral:rRNA from 1 species